rnacentral:rRNA from 1 species
CUGGCUCAGGAUGAACGCUGGCGGCGUGCCUAACACAUGCAAGUCGAACGGAUUUUGCUCGCAGCAGAGACUUCGGUCGAAGCUUGAGUAAAGUUAGUGGCGGACGGGUGAGUAACGCGUGGGCAACCUGCCUCAUACUGGGGGAUAACAGUUGGAAACGACUGUUAAUACCGCAUAAGCGCACAGUGUCGCAUGACACAGUGUGAAAAACUCCGGUGGUAUGAGAUGGGCCCGCGUCAGAUUA